GACGAACGCUGGCGGCGUGCUUAACACAUGCAAGUCGAACGGAAAGGCCCUGCUUUUGUGGGGUGCUCGAGUGGCGAACGGGUGAGUAACACGUGAGUAACCUGCCCUUGACUUUGGGAUAACUUCAGGAAACUGGGGCUAAUACCGGAUAGGAGCUCCUGCUGCACGGUGGGGGUUGGAAAGUUUCGGCGGUUGGGGAUGGACUCGCGGCUUAUCAGCUUGUUGGUGGGGUAGUGGCUUACCAAGGCUUUGACGGGUAGCCGGCCUGAGAGGGUGACCGGCCACAUUGGGACUGAGAUACGGCCCAGACUCCUACGGGAGGCAGCAGUGGGGAAUAUUGCACAAUGGGCGGAAGCCUGAUGCAGCAACGCCGCGUGCGGGAUGACGGCCUUCGGGUUGUAAACCGCUUUCGCCUGUGACGAAGCGUGAGUGACGGUAACGGGUAAAGAAGCACCGGCUAACUACGUG
rnacentral:rRNA from 1 species